UACGUAGGGUGCAAGCGUUAAUCGGAAUUACUGGGCGUAAAGCGUGCGCAGGCGGUUCUAUAAGACAGAUGUGAAAUCCCCGGGCUCAACCUGGGAACUGCAUUUGUGACUGUAGAGCUGGAGUACGGCAGAGGGGGAUGGAAUUCCGCGUGUAGCAGUGAAAUGCGUAGAUAUGCGGAGGAACACCGAUGGCGAAGGCAAUCCCCUGGGCCUGUACUGACGCUCAGGCACGAAAGCGUGGGGAGCAAACAGG
rnacentral:rRNA from 1 species